CGGACGGGUGAGUAACACGUAGAGAACCUACCUUACACAGGGGGACAACGGCUGGAAACGGCUGCUAAUACCGCAUAAGCACCCAGUUUCGCAUGAAACAGAGUGAAAAGAGUAAAUCGGUGUAAGAUGGCUCUGCGUCUGAUUAGCUAGUUGGUGGGGUAAAGGCUCACCAAGGCGACGAUCAGUAGCCGGCCUGAGAGGGCGACCGGCCACAUUGGGACUGAGACACGGCCCAGACUCCUACGGGAGGCAGCAG
rnacentral:rRNA from 1 species